AAACCACUGAGCCACGCCAGCCAGGGCUUGAAGUGCUUCUUCAUCCGGAGGUCCCACCCUCACAAGUGUUCCGCCCACCACCACAAGGUGGACCCAUCUCCCCGCUUUGUGCAUGGGUAUCUGAUGCUCAGUGUUGCGAUUCUAGUUGGGAAGAAGGUGCCUGGUCAGAGGAGGCCGGACAGGAUAUGAUGGGAAAAGAACCCCAGGACACGGGACUCCACUGCCAGAUUCAGACCUGCUUCCCACAUCUGAUGUAGCGGGAGGCUUCUGGACCAACCAGAGACCCUUGCCCUAUUGGCUAGUGCCUUGAGGCAUGUGCAUACAAGGGGCAUGCUGAUUGGCAGCGGGUUUUAGACCAAUAAAUGGGCUUCAGCCUGGUGUCAAAGGUGCGUGGAACACGCCCAUUGUUGCAGGACAAGUCAUGCGUUGCCUGUGGCAACCGACACGCAGCUUCCUCAGAAGGUUCAGUGCUCCUGCUGCCCGCCAGCUGACUCUCCCAUCAAGGCCACCUUGCCCGAGUAAUUGUCUCAGCAGAAGCUGAACUUUUCAGACUUGGCAACAUGAGCUCGCCCGACGAAGACGAGGGAUCUGUUUCGAGAGCAGAGGUAGACUCAGAGUGCAGGGAGAGGGCCGGCACAGUAGACCUUCCUUUGGGGUCACCACUGAGCAGCGAGGGCGGGGACAAGGGUGAGGGUGAGGGCGAGGGUGAGGGCGAGGGGGAGGGUGAGGUUGAGGUUGCAGGUGAGGGCGGGUUCCCACACCCCAAGGGCUUCCUGGCCCAACAGCAUGUGAUGGAGCAGGAGGGCUAGAGCAGCAGGACUGCGAAGGCCAAAUAGGAUCUCUGGCUGACUUUGAGGGGGACACUCCAGCCUACUUUGGCACUAGGUCUCUAGUGGGCAUUCCAGGGGGGCUGACUGAGGGAGAUACCCAGGGUGUUCACAGGAGCCCCUCCCAAGACCCUGUGACAGAGAAGUGUCCAUCAUGUGGUUGGACCCAGAGCCUGCUCCCAGUGGUACAGGCAUGGUGACCUAUGGCUUGGAGGGACUGCAGUUGGCCUCUGGCGCCCUGUUCCACCUCAGAGAGCCUAAGGGAGGCUUGGCCUGGGAAAGCCCCCCAAAAUGUGCUAGGUGUACAUCGAAAGCCAGUGGUAGUUACCAGCAUCCAUUUGAGGAAGAGGCGGAUUUCUCCCCUUGGCCCGUCUCCAAGUCACCGGAUGAGGUCAGUGAGAUGCCCCUGAUGAGGUUGAUUAUUUCUCAGGAUGAAGGAGGCCAGGCCAAACCCACCAGCCCCAAUGACACACCCGGUCACUCAAGAACCGACAUCAGGGAGAAGUUCCUUCCUGUGCCAGGGCCUUGCCUGUCCACUCCACAACGACUCACUUCAGGUGUGGAAAGGCAGGGUAUUGAUGAUCCAGAAGUGCCCUCUAAGAAACCAGAGAGUAUGAUCAGGGGGAAGGCUGGGGGAAGGCCCAACUACCUGCCCUUAGUUGCUGUUGCAGGUGGCCUGCCCAAGGCCAAUCCUAGAAGGAAAGUGUCCAAGCAGAAGACAUCUCAGUGGCGGACCGUAGAAGUUGCUCCUGGGAGUUUCUUUCCUCCCUGGUGGCAGAGAGACUCAGGAGGUCUGGAGGAGCCAGCCACCUUUCCUCCGAUCUCCGAUGUGCCUGGGAGGGGCAGGGGGCAUUCUUUGGUUCCUUUUGGAACCAAAGAGUCCAAGCCCACUGGCACAGGGCCAAAGUCAAUGACACGGAGGAGGAGGGUGUCCAAGCCUGUGGUGGGAGAAGAAGAUAAGGAACAGAAAAGAGAUGGAUUCCCAGAGAGCCAAUCUCUGACACAAGGGCAGAGACUAUCCUUUCCUUGUGGGCAUCGUGGACCAAGAGGCACUGUCACCGUGAACAACAGACACACCCAGGAUCUGGCACACUCAGAGCCCUUGGCACUGAUUGGGGAAGAAGUCUUGCCCAGUGGGCCUGCACCUUCCAGUGAUCUUGACCUUCCUGAAGAACCACGAAGACCAAAAAGGCUGCAAAAACCACAGCUAGAGCAACCACUUGGAGCAGAGGGUUGUCCUUGGUGCUGCCAUCUACAGAAGGAAAUAAGCUACUUGAAACAAUACUGUGGUAUGAGGAACAUGUGGCAUGGCCUGGGUCAGGGCCACCAGCAGACUUACCAUGGGGAGGGUGCGGGCUGCACGUCCCAGGGACCAACAUUCCUGUGGGGAGGUGAACCAAGCAGCUUGGACCUGGAGCCUGCUGUGCAUGCACAGCCAGUUUUCUGGACAAGGAGGAAAGUGUGGCUCAGAAUGCAAGCACAGUAUGCCAGCCCCAACCAGUCCUAGAGCUCUCCUUCCCUAGGACGUGUAGAGAUGCUGCCUCUCUGAUUUUCCCUUCAAUACUGCUGGCGGCCUUGCAGUCCCUGAUCGAGAGGUUCCUGAGACAUUAAUGUGGAACCAGAACCUUCACCCAAGAACAGCAGUUGGUACCCUGGAGCUGGGGAGCCCUGGCCAAGCUGGAUUCUUUCUGUUCCACUUCAGCCAGGGCUUCCUCGUACCCUUCUAUUGAUUCCUCACCACCUCGUUUGUCAAUAUUUUCACAUUAAAGUCUCCCUGAA